GACGAACGCUGGCGGCGUGCUUAACACAUGCAAGUCGAACGGUGAAGCGCCUUCCUUUUUGGUGGGUGUGGAUGAGUGGCGAACGGGUGAGUAACACGUGAGUAACCUGCCCCCUUCUUCUGGAUAACCGCAUGAAAGUGUGGCUAAUACGGGAUAUUCUGGGUCUGUCGCAUGAUGGGUCUGGGAAAGAUAUUGUUUCGGUGGGGGAUGGGCUCGCGGCCUAUCGGCUUGUUGGUGGGGUGAUGGCCUACCAAGGCGGUGACGGGUAGCCGGCCUGAGAGGGUGGACGGUCACACUGGGACUGAGACACGGCCCAGACUCCUACGGGAGGCAGCAGUGGGGAAUAUUGCACAAUGGGCGCAAGCCUGAUGCAGCGACGCCGCGUGAGGGAUGGAGGCCUUCGGGUUGUGAACCUCUUUCGCCAGUGAAGCAGGCCUGCCUCGUUUGUGGGUGGGUUGACGGUAGCUGGAGAAGAAGCGCCGGCUAACUACGUG
rnacentral:rRNA from 1 species